AGUAACACGUGAGUAACCUGCCCUUGACUCUGGGAUAAGCCUGGGAAACUGGGUCUAAUACCGGAUAGGAACGUCCACCGCAUGGUGGUUGUUGGAAAGAUUUAUCGGUCAUGGAUGGACUCGCGGCCUAUCAGCUUGUUGGUGAGGUAAUGGCUCACCAAGGCGACGACGGGUAGCCGGCCUGAGAGGGUGACCGGCCACACUGGGACUGAGACACGGCCCAGACUCC
rnacentral:rRNA from 1 species